rnacentral:rRNA from 1 species
CCUGAUGCAGCGACGCCGCGUGAGGGAUGACGGCCUUCGGGUUGUAAACCUCUUUCAGCUCCGACGAAGCGAGAGUGACGGUAGGAGCAGAAGAAGCGCCGGCCAACUACGUGCCAGCAGCCGCGGUAAGACGUAGGGCGCAAGCGUUGUCCGGAUUUAUUGGGCGUAAAGAGCUCGUAGGCGGCGUGUCACGUCGACUGUGAAAACCCGCGGCUCAACCGCGGGCCUGCAGCCGAUACGGGCAGGCUAGAGUUCGGUAGGGGAGACUGGAAUUCCUGGUGUAGCGGUGAAAUGCGCAGAUAUCAGGAGGAACACCGGUGGCGAAGGCGGGUCUCUGGGCCGAUACUGACGCUGAGGAGCGAAAGCGUGGGGAGCGAACAGGAUUAGAUACCCUGGUAGUCCACGCUGUAAACGUUGGGCGCUAGGUGUGGGGGGCCUCUCCGGUUCUCUGUGCCGCAGCUAACGCAUUAAGCGCCCCGCCUGGGGAGUACGGCCGCAAGGCUA